CCAGCAGUGCAAUGCACACCCAUUGCCUCAUGAUGACCAAAUAAUGCAAAGGCUUACAGAUGGCCACAUAGCGGUCAUAGGCCAUCACCAGCAGAAGAAAGACCUCUGAUCCACCAAAAAAGUGCUCUGUAAAGAGCUGAGCCAUACAAGAUUGGAAGGAUAUGGUAUUUUCCCCAAAGAACAAGUUUGAAAUCAGUUUGGGGGAUAUAGAUGAGGAAUAAAUGACAUCUAUAAAUGACAAGCUACCAAGAAAAAAGUACAUUGGUGAGCCCAGGCUCUUACUGAAAGUUACAGUCACAACAAUGAGCAUGUUGCCUAUCAUGGUCAAAAUAUAGAAGAGCAAGAACAUAAAAAAAAGAACUGUCUGCUCCUUUGUAUUCUGCGUGAGACCCAAGAGGACAAAGUGUUUUCAUGGAAAUCAAACCAACAAAUGCAUCACUUUCAAGUCUUUGGAGAGUCAAUGAAGAAAAAUCACAAAGAAGGACCUUUAAGUAAAUGACAGCAACAGAGCCAUGUACUAACAAGAUGAAGAUUUGUAUGGAAGACACCGCUCCCAACCUUGGUGGGUUAGAAGGAGGACUUAAAUCAGGAAUAAA
ensembl:lncRNA